CCGCGGGCUGCACAGUGACGUACGACGUGGCUCCGGAAGAUCCACCAAUCUCAGGGUCUGAUUCUCGACGAGCUUCAAUCUCCCAUAAUGCUUCGUGAAUUCAUGGACCUCUGUCGAGGGACUACACGUCCCAUGAAACCCUGCAGUCAAAGCUUGAAGUAACAUCGUGGAGAAAAACGUAAUUGUCUCGGGGCCAGUGGCGCAAUGGAUAACGCGUCUGACUACGGAUCAGAAGAUUCCAGGUCUUAUGAGUAGGUGGCUGUCCAGAGGAAGUGGAAGCUAAUUAUCUGGGCUGUGGACCAUCUGUGCUCCUGGCAUCUUCCUCCUGAUGUCAAGCUGGUGGCUGUUCUGUUGGUUGUUAACUAACCCAUCCAUGGGUCUAUGGCAAGCAUGAUGCUGAACAGUUCCCAGUAAUUCCAUACCGCAUUGCUCCCCGCCUUUCCGACAGCACUUUCCUGUGACUUCUAGAAACAGCAGGUACUAUGAGUCUACCUAUAUGAGCCAGAGAGAAGCAAAAGCGAAGGAGUGAAAAAGAAAUAGAGCACCUGGUAAAGACAGAGUUGGUGAAGAAGUCUGUCUUCUGUUCAGCCUCCCUCUGCCCUGCCCUCCAUGCCGAACUCUUGUGCUCAGAAGCAUGAGCCAGUGACCAACAGGCAGACCCUUGGAAACUUUUCUGGAAAGGAAAGAGUAUCCUCUCGCAGAGAAUUCUCCCCUUGCCCCUCCACCCCCUUCCCCUCACAUUCCUCACCUCCAGGCCCAGUUCUUUUACCUGAUCCUGUUUUUGUGACCUUGUUUAAACACCUCCAGCCCAUUGUAAACACUCCUUUCAUCUCUGGUGCUCAGCUCCUCCCUCAGCACUUACCUCCCUCCCCAGCACCCCUUCACUCACCUCUGUGCCUGCCCAGCCAGCUAGACUCUUCAACACCAAAAUAAUGGCCCGUUUGACCCUCCUACUGCUCCAAAUUGCUUCUGUACAAUCAAGGCUGUCCUGCAGCUACCAAAGUGGCAGAGUUACUGAGGCAAAAUAAUCUAUGCCGAUUUGCAUUCUCUUCCUUGUCAGCUCUAUUAUACAGUGUUUAUCUGUCAAAAUGAAUAGAAAGUAGAAACUGUUCUGGAACACAGGAAAAGAUGGAAAAUUACCCGAUUUGUUUACAAAGCCAGAACAUACCGAAUAGCAAAACCUGUCAGAAGAAGCCCCCUGCCCCAAAAAAACCCUACAGACCAAUCUCACUUAUUAAUAUAUAUGUAAAAAUCCUAAAAUAUUUAAGUUUAACAUAUAAAAGACAGCAGUAUAUUAACAUAAUAAUUACAUACCAAAACCAAUUGGGGUUUAAUGUUGGGAAUUAAGAUUAGGUCUGAAGAAAUUUAUUUAAAUAAAAGAUCA